rnacentral:rRNA from 1 species
AGAGUUUGAUCCUGGCUCAGGAUGAACGCUGGCGGCGUGCUUAACACAUGCAAGUCGAACGGGAAUGCCGCGCUGAUGCGAUUUCGGUCAAAUCAUGUGGCAUUCGAGUGGCGGACGGGUGAGUAACGCGUGGGUAACCUGCCUUACACAGGGGGAUAACACCUGGAAACAGGUGCUAAUACCGCAUAAGCGCACAGGGCCGCAUGGCCCGGUGUGAAAAACUCCGGUGGUGUAAGAUGGACCCGCGUCUGAUUAGCUUGUUGGCGGGGUAGGGGCCCACCAAGGCGACGAUCAGUAGCCGGCCUGAGAGGGUGGACGGCCACAUUGGGACUGAGACACGGCCCAAACUCCUACGGGAGGCAGCAGUGGGGGAUAUUGGACAAUGGGGGAAACCCUGAUCCAGCGACGCCGCGUGAGUGAAGAAGUAUUUCGGUAUGUAAAGCUCUGUCAGCAGGGAAGAAAGAAAUGACGGUACCUGACCAAGAAGCCCCGGCUAACUACGUGCCAGCAGCCGCGGUAAUACGUAGGGGGCAAGCGUUAUCCGGAAUUACUGGGUGUAAAGGGAGCGUAGACGGUGAUGCAAGUCUGGAGUGAAAGGCGGGGGCCCAACCCCCGGACUGCUCUGGAAACUGUGUAACUUGAGUGCAGGAGAGGUAAGCGGAAUUCCCAGUGUAGCGGUGAAAUGCGUAGAUAUUAGGAGGAACACCAGUGGCGAAGGCGGCUUACUGGACUGUAACUGACGUUGAGGCUCGAAAGCGUGGGGAGCAAACAGGAUUAGAUACCCUGGUAGUCCACGCCGUAAACGAUGAUUACUAGGUGUCGGGUGGGGUAUGGGACCCCCCGGUGCCGCAGCAAA